GUGGAGUGCAGACCCAGGCAGGAGCAACAUUGCUGUAGUUCGAGGGUCAGAAAGCUGGCGACCCAGGGAGGAGAGGUCUUGUUCUAGUUUGAUUUUCGUGGAGCUGCAGACCCAGGCAGGAGCAAUGUUGCUGUAGUUCGAGGGUCCGGUAGCUGGCAACCCGGGGAGGAGAAGUCUUGUUCGAGUUUGAGGGUCGUGGAGCUGCCGACCCAGGGAGGAGCAAUUUGGUUGUAAUUUGAGGGUCCAGAAGCUGGAGACCCAGGGAGGAGAGAGAUCUUGUUCUGGUCUGAGGGUUGUGGAGCCACAGACCCAGGGAGGAGCAAUUUUGUUGUAAUUUGAGGGUCAGGAAGCUGGCGACCCAGGGAGGAGAGGUCUUGUUCUAGUUUGAGGGUCGUGGAGCUGCCGACCCAGGGAGGAGCAAUUUUGUUGUAAUUCGAGGAUCAGGAAGCUGGCGACCCAGUGGAGGAGAGGUCUUGUUCUGGUCUGAGGGUCAUGGAGCUGCAGACCCAGGGAGGAGCAAUGUUGUUGUAAUUCGAGGGUGUGGUAGCUGGCAACCUGGGGAGGAGAAGUCUUGUUCGAGUUUGAGGCUCGUGGAGCUGCCGACCAGGGAGGAGCAAUUUUGUUGCAGUUCGAGGGUCAGGAAGCUGGCGACCCAGGGAGGAGAGGUCUUGUUCUAGUUUGAGGGUCGUGGAGCUGCAGACCCAUGGAGGAGCAAUUUUGUUGUAAUUCGAGGGUCUGGAAGCUGGAGACCCAGGGAGGAGAGGUCUUGUUCUAGUUUGAGGGUCGUGGAGCUGCCGAACCAGGGAGGAGCAAUGUUGUUGUAAUUGGAGGGUCCGGAAGCUGGCGACCCAGGGAGGAGAGGUCUUGUUCUGGUGUGAAGGUCGUGGAGCUGCAGACCCAGGGAGGAGCAAUUUUGUUGUAAUUCAAGGGUCCGGUAGCUGGCAACCCAGGGAAGAGAAGUGUUGUUGGAGUUUGAGGGUCGUGGAGCUGCCGACCCAGGGAGGAGCAGUUUGGUUGUAAUUCGAGGGUCAGGAAGCUGGCGACCCAGGGGAGGAGAGGUCUUCUUCUGGUCUGAGGGUCGUGGAGCUGCAGACCCAGGGAGGAGCAAUGUUGUUGUAAUUCGAGGGUCUGGUAGCUGGCAACCUGGGGAGGAGAAGUCUUGUUCGAGUUUGAGGCUGGUGGAGCUGCUGAUCAGGGAGGAGCAAUUUUGUUGUAGUUCGAGGGUCAGGAAGCUGGUGACCCAGGGAGGAGAGGUCUUGUUUUAGUUUGAGGGUGGUGGAGCUGCAGACCCAGGGAGGAGCAAUUUGGUUGUAAUUCGAGGGUCUGGAAGCUGGAGACCCAGGGAGGAGAGGUCUUGUUCUAGUUUGAGGGUCGUGGAGCUGCCGAACCAGGGAGGAGAAGUCUUGUUUUAGUUUGAGGGUCGUGGAGCUGCCGAACCAGGGAGGCGCAAUUUGGUUGUAAUUGGAGGGUCCGGAAGCUGGUGACCCACGGAGGAGAUGUCUUGUUCUGGUCUGAGGGUCGUGGAGCUACAUACCCAGGGAGGAGCAAUGUUGUUGUAAUUCGAGGGUGUGGUAGCUGGCAACCUGGGGAGGAGAAGUCUUGUUCGAGUUUGAGGCUCGUGGAGCUGCCGACCAGGGAGGAGCAAUUUUGUUGUAGUUCGUGGGUCAGGAAUCUGGCGACCCAGGGAGGAGAGGUCUUUAGUUUGAGGGUUGUGGAACUGCAGACCCAGGCAGGAGCAAUGUUGUUGUAAUUCAAGGGUCCGGAAGCUGGUGACCCAGGGAGGAGAGGUCUUGUUCUAGUUUGAGGGUCGUGGAGCUGCCGACCCAGGGAGGAGCAAUUUGGUUGUAAUUGGAGAGUCCGGAAGCUGGAGACCCAGGGAGGAGAGGUCUUGUUCUAGUUUGAGGGUCGUAGAGCUGCAGACCCAGGGAGGAGCAAUUCUGUUGUAAUUCGAGGGUCUGGAAGCUGGAGACCGAGGGAGGAGAGGUCUUGUUGUAGUUUGAGGGUCGUGGAGCUGCCGAACCAGGGAGGAGCAAUGUUGUUUUAAUUGGAGGGUCCGAAAGCUGGCGACCCAGGGAGGAGAGGCCUUGUUCUGGUGUGAGGGUCGUGGAGCUGCAGACCCAGGGAGGAGCAAUUUUGUUGUAAUUCAAGGGUCCGGUAGCUGGCAACCCAGGGAAGAGAAGUGUUGUUGGAGUUUGAGGGUCGUGGAGCUGCCGACCCAGGGAGGAGCAAUUUGGUUGUAAUUCGAGGGUCAGGAAGCUGGCGACCCAGGUGAGGAGAGGUCUUCUUCUGGUCUGAGGGUCGUGGAGCUGCAGACCCAGGGAGGAGCAAUGUUGUUGUAAUUCGAGGGUCUGGUAGCUGGCAACCUGGGAAGGAGAAGUCUUGUUCGAGUUUGAGGCUGCUGGAGCUGCUGAUCAGGGAGGAGCAAUUUUGUUGUAGUUCGAGGGUCAGGAAGCUGGUGACCCAGGGAGGAGAGGUCUUGUUUUAGUUUGAGGGUGGUGGAGCUGCAGACCCAGGGAGGAGCAAUUUGGUUGUAAUUCGAGGGUCUGGAAGCUGGAGACCCAGGGAGGAGAGGUCUUGUUCUGGUUUGAGGGUCAUGGAGCUGCCGAACCAGGGAGGAGCAAUUUGGUUGUAAUUGGAGGGUCCGGAAGCUGGUGACCCAGGGAGGAGAGGUCUUGUUUUAGUUUGAGGGUUGCGGAACUGCAGACCCAGGCAGGAGCUAUGUUGUUGUAAUUCAAGGGUCUGGAAGCUGGCGACCCAGGGAGGAGAGGUCUUGUUCUAGUUUGAGGGUCGUGGAGCUGCCGACCCAGGGAGGAGCAAUUUGGUUGUAAUUCGAGGGUCAGGAAGCUGGCGACCCAGGGAGGAGAGGUCUUCUUCUGGUCUGAGGGUCAUGGAGCUGCAGACCCAGGGAGGAGCAAUAUUGUUGUAAUUCGAGGGUCUGGAAGCUGGAGACCGAGGGAGGAGAGGUCUUGUUCUAGUUUGAGGGUCGUGGAGCUGCCGAACCAGGGAGGAGCAAUGUUGUUGUAAUUGGAGGGUCGGAAAGCUGGCGACCCAGGGAGGAGAGGUCUUGUUCUGGUGUGAGGGUCGUGGAGCUGCAGACCCAGGGAGGAGCAAUUUUGUUGUAAUUCAAGGGUCCGGUAGCUGGCAAACCAGGGAAGAGAAGUGUUGUUGGAGUUUGAGGGUCAUGGAGCUGCCGACCCAGGGAGGAGCAAUUUGGUUGUAAUUCGAGGGUCAGGAAGCUGGCGACCCAGGGGAGGAGAGGUCUUCUUCUGGUCUGAGGGUCGUGGAGCUGCAGACCCAGGGAGGAGCAAUGUUGUUGUAAUUCGAGGGUCUGGUAGCUGGCAACCUGGGAAGUAGAAGUCUUGUUCGAGUUUGAGGCUGGUGGAGCUGCUGAUCAGGGAGGAGCAAUUUUGUUGUAGUUCGAGGGUCAGGAAGCUGGUGACCCAGGAAGGAGAGGUCUUGUCUUAGUUUGAGGGUGGUGGAGCUGCAGACCCAGGGAGGAGCAAUUUGGUUGUAAUUCGAGGGUCUGGAAGCUGGAGACCCAGGGAGGAGAGGUCUUGUUCUAGUUUGAGGGUCGUGGAGCUGCCGAACCAGGGAGGAGCAAUGCUGUUGUAAUUCGAGGGUCCGGAAGCUGGCGACCGAGGGAGGAGAGGUCUUGUUCUAGUUUGAGGGUCGUGGAGCUGCCGAACCAGGGAGGCGCAAUUUGGUUGUAAUUGGAGGGUCCGGAAGCUGGUGACCCAGGGAGGAGAUGUCUUGUUCUGGUCUGAGUGUCGUGGAGCUACAUACCCAGGGAGGAGCAAUGUUGUUGUAAUUCGAGGGUGUGGUAGCUGGCAACCUGGGGAGGAGAAGUCUUGUUCGAGUUUGAGGCUCGUGGAGCUGCCGACCAGGGAGGAGCAAUUUUGUUGUAGUUUGUGGGUCAGGAAUCUGGCGACCCAGGGAGGAGAGGUCUUGCUUUAGUUUGAGGGUUGUGGAACUGCAGACCCAGGCAGGAGCAAUGUUGUUGUAAUUCAAGGGUCCGGAAGCUGGUGACCCAGGGAGGAGAGGUCUUGUUCUAGUUUGAGGGUCGUGGAGCUGCCGACCCAGGGAGGAGCAAUUUGGUUGUAAUUGGAGGGUCCGGAAGCUGGAGACCCAGGGAGGAGAGGUCUUGUUCUAGUUUUAGGGUCGUAGAGCUGAAGACCCAGGGAGGAGCAAUUCUGUUGUAAUUCGAGGGUCUGGAAGCUGGAGACCCAGGGAGGAGAGGUCUUGUUGUAGUUUGAGGGUCGUGGAGCUGCCGAACCAGGGAGGAGCAAUGUUGUUGUAAUUGGAGGGUCCGAAAGCUGGCGACCCAGGGAGGAGAGGUCUUGUUCUGGUGUGAGGGUCGUGGAGCUGCAGACCCAGGGAGGAGCAAUUUUGUUGUAAUUCAAGGGUCCGGUAGCUGGCAACCCAGGGAAGAGAAGUGUUCUUGGAGUUUGAGGGUCGUGGAGCUGCCGACCCAGGGAGGAGCAAUUUGGUUCUAAUUCGAGGGUCAGGAAGCUGGCGACCCAGGUGAGGAGAGGUCUUCUUCUGGUAUGAGGGUCGUGGAGCUGCAGACCCAGGGAGGAGCAAUUUUGUUGUAAUUCAAGGGUCCGGUAGCUGGCAACCCGGGUAGGAGAAGUCUUGUUCGAGUUUGAGGGUCGUGGAUCUGCCGACCCAGGGAGGAGCAGUUUGGUUGUAAUUUGAGGGUCCGGAAGCUGGAGACCCAGGGAGGAGAGAGGUCUUGUUCUCGUCUGAGGGUCGUGGAGCUGCAGACCCAGGGAGGAGCAAUUUGGUUGUAAUUCGAGGGUCAGGAAGCUGGCGACCCAGGGAGGAGAGGUCUUGUUCUGGUCUGAGGGUCAUGGAGCUACAUACCCAGGGAGGAGCAAUGUUGUUGUAAUUCGAGGGUGUGGUAGCUGGCAACCUGGGGAGGAGAAGUCUUCUUCGAGUUUGAGGCUCGUGGAGUUGCCGACCAGGGACGAGCAAUUUUGUUGUAGUUCGUGGGUCAGGAAUCUGGCGACCCAGGGAGGAGAGGUCUUGUUUUAGUUUGAGGGUUGUGGAACUGCAGACCCAGGCAGGAGCAAUGUUGUUGUAAUUCAAGGGUCCGGAAGCUGGAGACCCCGGGAGGAGAGGUCUUGUUCUAAUUUGAGGGUCGUAGAGCUGCGGAACCAGGGAGGAGCAAUGUUGUUGUAAUUGGAGGGUCCGAAAGCUGGCGACCCAGGGAGGAGAGGUCUUGUUCUGGUGUGAGGGUCGUGGAGCUGCAGACCCAGGGAGGAGCAAUUUUGUUGUAAUUCAAGGGUCCAGUAGCUGGCAACCCAGGGAAGAGAAGUGUUGUUGGAGUUUGAGGGUCGUGGAGCUGCCGACCCAGGGAGGAGCAAUUUGGUUGUAAUUCGAGGGUCAGGAAGCUGGCGACCCAGGGGAGGAGAGGUCUUCUUCUGGUCUGAGGGUCGUGGAGCUGCAGACCCAGGGAGGAGCAAUGUUGUUGUAAUUCGAGGGUCUGGUAGCUGGCAACCUGGGGAGGAGAAGUCUUGUUCGAGUUUUAGGCUGGUGGAGCUGCUGAUCAGGGAGGAGCAAUUUUGUUGUAGUUCGAGGGUCAGGAAGCUGGUGACCCAGGGAGGAGAGGUCUUGUUUUAGUUUGAGGUUGUUGGAGGUGCAGACCCAGGGAGGAGCAAUAUUGUUGUAAUUCGAGGGUCUGGAAGCUGGAGACCCAGGGAGGAGAGGUCUUGUUCUAGUUUGAGGGUCGUGGAGCUGCCGAACCAGGGAGGAGCAAUGCUGUUGUAAUUGGAGGGUCCGGAAGCUGGCGACCCAGGGAGGAGAGGUCUUGUUCUAGUUUGAGGGUCGUGGAGCUGCCGAACCAGAGAGGCGCAAUUUGGUUGUAAUUGGAGGGUCCGGAAGCUGGUGACCCAGGGAGGAGAUGUCUUGUUCUGGUCUGAGGGUCGUGGAGCUACAUAUCCAGGGAGGAGCAAUGUUGUUGUAAUUCGAGGGUGUGGUAGCUGGCAACCUGGGGAGGAGAAGUCUUGUUCGAGUUUGUGGCUCGUGGAGCUGCCGACCAGGGAGGAGCAAUUUUGUUGUAGUUCGUGGGUCAGGAAUCUGGCGACCCAGGGAGGAGAGGUCUUGUUUUAGUUUGAGGGUUGUGGAACUGCAGACCCAGGCAGGAGCAAUGUUGUUGUAAUUCAAGGGUCCGGAAGCUGGUGACCCAGGGAGGAGAGGUCUUGUUCUAGUUUGAGGGUCGUGGAGCUGCCGACCCAGGGAGGAGCAAUUUGGUUGUAAUUGGAGAGUCCGGAAGCUGGAGACCCAGGGAGGAGAGGUCUUGUUCUAGUUUGAGGGUCGUAGAGCUGCAGACCCAGGGAGGAGCAAUUCUGUUGUAAUUCGAGGGUCUGGAAGCUGGAGACCGAGGGAGGAGAGGUCUUGUUGUAGUUUGAGGGUCGUGGAGCUGCCGAACCAGGGAGGAGCAAUGUUGUUGUAAUUGGAGGGUCCGAAAGCUGGCGACCCAGGGAGGAGAGGUCUUGUUCUGGUGUGAGGGUCGUGGAGCUGCAGACCCAGGGAGGAGCAAUUUUGUUGUAAUUCAAGGGUCCGGUAGCUGGCAACCCAGGGAAGAGAAGUGUUGUUGGAGUUUGAGGGUCGUGGAGCUGCCGACCCAGGGAGGAGCAAUUUGGUUGUAAUUCGAGGGUCAGGAAGCUGGCGACCCAGGUGAGGAGAGGUCUUCUUCUGGUCUGAGGGUCGUGGAGCUGCAGACCCAGGGAGGAGCAAUGUUGUUGUAAUUCGAGGGUCUGGUAGCUGGCAACCUGGGGAGGAGAAGUCUUGUUCGAGUUUGAGGCUGGUGGAGCUGCUGAUCAGGGAGGAGCAAUUUUUUUGUAGUUCGAGGGUCAGGAAGCUGGUGACCCAGGGAGGAGAGGUCUUGUUUUAGUUUGAGGGUGGUGGAGCUGCAGACCCAGGGAGGAGCAAUUUGGUUGUAAUUCGAGGGUCUGGAAGCUGGAGACCCAGGGAGGAGAGGUCUUGUUCUGGUUUGAGGGUCAUGGAGCUGCCGAACCAGGGAGGAGCAAUUUGGUUGUAAUUGGAGGGUCCGGAAGCUGGUGACCCAGGGAGGAGAGGUCUUGUUUUAGUUUGAGGGUUGCGGAACUGCAGACCCAGGCAGGAGCUAUGUUGUUGUAAUUCAAGGGUCCGGAAGCUGGCGACCCAGGGAGGAGAGGUCUUGUUCUAGUUUGAGGGUCGUAGAGCUGCCGACCCAUGGAGGAGCAAUUUGGUUGUAAUUCGAGGGUCAGGAAGCUGGCGACGCAGGGAGGAGAGGUCUUGUUCUGGUAUGAGGGUCGUGGAGCUGCAGACCCAGGGAGGAGCAAUUUUGUUGUAAUUCAAGGGUCCGGUAGCUGGCAACCCGGGUAGGAGAAGUCUUGUUCGAGUUUGAGGGUCGUGGAGCUGCCGAACCAGGGAGGCGCAAUUUGGUUGUAAUUGGAGGGUCCGGAAGCUGGUGACCCAGGGAGGAGAUGUCUUCUUCUGGUCUGAUGGUCGUGGAGCUACAUACCCAGGGAGGAGCAAUGUUGUUGUAAUUCGAGGGUGUGGUAGCUGGCAACCUGGGGAGGAGAAGUCUUGUUGGAGUCUGAGGCUCGUGGAGCUGCCGACCAGGGAGGAGCAAUUUUGUUGUAGUUCGUGGGUCAGGAAUCUGGCGACCCAGGGAGGAGAGGUCUUGUUUUAGUUUGAGGGUUGUGGAACUGCAGACCCAGGCAGGAGCAAUGUUGUUGUAAUUCAAAGGUCCGGAAGCUGGAGACACAGGGAGGAGAGGUCUUGUUCUAGUUUGAGGGUCGUAGAGCUGCAGACCCAGGGAGGAGCAAUUCUGUUGUAAUCCGAGGGUCUGGAAGCUGGAGACCCAGGGAGGAGAGGUCUUGUUGUAGUUUGAGGGUCGUGGAGCUGCCGAACCAGGGAGGAGCAAUGUUGUUGUAAUUGGAGGGUCCGAAAUCUGGCGACCCAGGGAGGAGAGGUCUUGUUCUGGUGUGAGGGUCAUGGAGCUGCAGACCCAGGGAGGAGCAAUUUUGUUGUAAUUCAAGGGUCCGGUAGCUGGCAACCCAGGGAAGAGAAGUGUUGUUGGAGUUUGAGGGUCGUGGAGCUGCCGACCCAGAGAGGAGCAAUUUGGUUGUAAUUCGAGGGUCAGGAAGCUGGCGACCAAGGGGAGGAGAGGUCUUCUUCUGGUCUGAGGGUCGUGGAGCUGCAGACCCAGGGAGGAGCAAUGUUGUUGUAAUUCGAGGGUCUGGUAGCUGGCAACCUGGGGAGGAGAAGUCUUGUUCGAGUUUGAGGCUGGUGGAGCUGCUGAUCAGGGAGGAGCAAUUUUGUUGUAGUUCGAGGGUCAGGAAGCUGGUGACCCAGGAAGGAGAGGUCUUGUUUUAGUUUGAGGGUGGUGGAGCUGCAGACCCAGGGAGGAGCAAUUUGGUUGUAAUUCGAGGGUCUGGAAGCUGGAGACCCAGGGAGGAGAGGUCUUGUUCUAGUUUGAGGGUCGUGGAGCUGCCGAACCAGGGAGGAGCAAUGCUGUUGUAAUUCGAGGGUCCGGAAGCUGGCGACCCAGGGAGGAGAGGUCUUGUUCUGGUGUGAGGGUCGUGGAGCUGCAGACCCAGGGAGGAGCAAUUUUGUUGUAAUUCAAGGGUCCGGUAGCUGGCAACCCAGGGAAGAGAAGUGUUGUUGGAGUUUGAGGGUCGUGGAGCUGCCGACCCAGGGAGGAGCAAUUUGGUUGUAAUUUGAGGGUCCGGAAGCUGGAGACCCAGGGAGGAGAGAGGUCUUGUUCUCGUCUGAGGGUCGUGGAGCUGCCGACCCAGGGAGGAGCAAUUUGGUUGUAAUUCGAGGGUCAGGAAGCUGGCGACCCAGGGAGGAGAGGUCUUGUUCUGGUCUGAGGGUCGUGGAGCUACAUACCCAGGGAGGAGCAAUGUUGUUGUAAUUCGAGGGUGUGGUAGCUGGCAACCUGGGGAGGAGAAGUCUUCUUCGAGUUUGAGGCUCGUGGAGCUGCCGACCAGGGACGAGCAAUUUUGUUGUAGUUCGUGGGUCAGGAAUCUGGCGACCCAGGGAGGAGAGGUCUUGUUUUAGUUUGAGGGUUGUGGAACUGCAGACCCAGGCAGGAGCAAUGUUGUUGUAAUUCAAGGGUCCGGAAGCUGGAGACCCCGGGAGGAGAGGUCUUGUUCUAGUUUGAGGGUCGUAGAGCUGCAGACCCAGGGAGGAGCAAUUCUGUUGUAAUUCGAGGGUCUGGAAGCUGGAGACCCAGGGAGGAGAGGUCUUGUUGUAGUUUGAGGGUCGUGGAGCUGCCGAACCAGGGAGGAGCAAUUUGGUUCUAAUUCGAGGGUCAGGAAGCUGGCGACCCAGGGGAGGAGAGGUCUUGUUCUGGUAUGAGGGUCGUGGAGCUGCAGACCCAGGGAGGAGCAAUUUUGUUGUAAUUCAAGGGUCCGGUAGCUGGCAACCCGGGUAGGAGAAGUCUUGUUCGAGUUUGAGGGUCGUGAAGCUGCCGACCCAGGGAGGAGCAAUUUGGUUGUAAUUUGAGGGUCCGGAAGCUGGAGACCCAGGGAGGAGAGAGGUCUUGUUCUGGUCUGAGGGUCGUGGAGCUGCAGACCCAGGGAGGAGCAAUUUGGUUGUAAUUCGAGGGUCAGGAAGCUGGCGACCCAGGGAGGAGAGGUCUUGUUCUGGUCUGAGGGUCGUGGAGCUGCAGACCCAGGGAGGAGCAAUUUUGUUGUAAUUCAAGGGUCCAGUAGCUGGCAACCCAGGGAAGAGAAGUGUUGUUGGAGUUUGAGGGUCGUGGAGCUGCCGACCCAGGGAGGAGCAAUUUGGUUGUAAUUCGAGGGUCAGGAAGCUGGCGACCCAGGGGAGGAGAGGUCUUCUUCUGGUCUGAGGGUCGUGGAGCUGCAGACCCACUGAGGAGCAAUGUUGUUGUAAUUCGAGGGUCUGGUAGCUGGCAACCUCGGGAGGAGAAGUCUUGUUCGAGUUUGAGGCUGCUGGAGCUGCUGAUCAGGGAGGAGCAAUUUGGUUGUAAUUCGAGGGACAGGAAGCUGGCGACCCAGGGGAGGAGAGGUCUUGUUCUGGUAUGAGGGUCGUGGAGCUGCAGACCCAGGGAGGAGCAAUGUUGUUGUAAUUCGAGGGUCUGGUAGCUGGCAACCUGGGAAGGAGAAGUCUUGUUCGAGUUUGAGGCUGGUGGAGCUGCUGAUCAGGGAGGAGCAAUUUUGUUGUAGUUCGAGGGUCAGGAAGCUGGUGACCCAGGGAGGAGAGGUCUUGUUUUAGUUUGAGGGUGGUGGAGCUGCAGACCCAGGGAGGAGGAAUUUGGUUGUAAUUCGAGGGUCUGGAAGCUGGAGACCCAGGGAGGAGAGGUCUUGUUCUGGUUUGAGGGUCAUGGAGCUGCCGAACCAGGGAGGAGCAAUUUGGUUGUAAUUGGAGGGUCCGGAAGCUGGUGUCCCAGGGAGGAGAGGUCUUGUUUUAGUUUGAGGGUUGCGGAACUGCAGACCCAGGCAGGAGCUAUGUUGUUGUAAUUCAAGGGUCCGGAAGCUGGCGACCCAGGGAGGAGAGGUCUUGUUCUAGUUUGAGGGUCGUAGAGCUGCCGACCCAGGGAGGAGCAAUUUGGUUGUAAUUCGAGGGUCAGGAAGCUGGCGACGCAGGGAGGAGAGGUCUUGUUCUGGUAUGAGGGUCGUGGAGCUGCAGACCCAGGGAGGAGCAAUUUUGUUGUAAUUCAAGGGUCCGGUAGCUGGCAACCCGGGUAGGAGAAGUCUUGUUCGAGUUUGAGGGUCGUGGAGCUGCCGACCCAGGGAGGAGCAAUUUGGUUGUAAUUCGAGGGUCAGGAAGCUGGCGACCCAGGGAGGAGAGGUCUUCUUCUGGUCUGAGGGUCAUGGAGCUGCAGACCCAGGGAGGAGCAAUAUUGUUGUAAUUCGAGGGUCUGGUAGCUGGCAACCUGGGAAGGAGAAGUCUUGUUCGAGUUUGAGGCUGGUGGAGCUGCUGAUCAGGGAGGAGCAAUUUUGUUGUAGUUCGAGGGUCAGGAAGCUGGUGACCCAGGGAGGAGAGGUCUUCUUUUAGUUUGAGGGUGGUGGAGCUGCAGACCCAGGGAGGAGCAAUUUGGUUGUAAUUCGAGGGUCUGGAAGCUGGAGACCCAGGGAGGAGAGGUCUUGUUCUAGUUUGAGGGUCGUGGAGCUGCCGAACUAGGGAGGAGCAAUGCUGUUGUAAUUCGAGGGUCCGGAAGCUGGCUACCCAGGGAGGAGAGGUCUUGUUCUAGUUUGAGGGUCGUGGAGCUGCCGAACCAGGGAGGCGCAAUUUGGUUGUAAUUGGGGGGUCCGGAAGCUGGUGACCAAGGGAAGAGAUGUCUUCUUCUGGUCUGAGGGUCGUGGAGCUACAUACCCAGGGAGGAGCAAUGUUGUUGUAAUUCGAGGGUGUGGUAGCUGGCAACCUGGGGAGGAGAAGUCUUGUUCGAGUUUGAGGCUCGUGGAGGUGCCGACCAGGGAGGAGCAAUUUUGUUGUAAUUCGUGCGUCAGGAAUCUGGCGACCCAGGGAGGAGAGGUCUUGUUUUAGUUUGAGGGUUGUGGAACUGCAGACCCAGGCAGGAGCAAUGUUGUUGUAAUUCUGGGGUCCGGAAGCUGGUGACCCAGGGAGGAGAGGUCUUGUUCUAGUUUGAGGGUCGUAGAGCUGCAGACCCAGGGAGGAGCAAUUCUGUUGUAAUUCGAGGGUCUGGAAGCUGGAGACCCAGGGAGGAGAGGUCUUGUUGUAGUUUGAGGGUCGUGGAGCUGCCGAACCAGAGAGGAGCAAUGUUGUUGUAAUUGGAGGGUCCGAAAGCUGGCGACCCAGGGAGGAGAGGUCUUGUUCUGGUGUGAGGGUCGUGGAGCUGCAGACCCAGGGAGGAGCAAUUUUGUUGUAAUUCAAGGGUCCGGUAGCUGGCAACCCAGGGAAGAGAAGUGUUGUUGGAGUUUGAGGGUCGUGGAGCUGCCGACCCAGGGAGGAGCAAUUUGGUUGUAAUUCGAGGGUCAGGAAGCUGGCGACCCAGGGGAGGAGAGGUCUUCUUCUGGUCUGAGGGUCGUGGAGCUGCAGACCCAGGGAGGAGCAAUGUUGUUGUAAUUCGAGGGUCUGGUAGCUGGCAACCUGGGAAGGAGAAGUCUUGUUCGAGUUUGAGGCUGUUGGAGCUGCUGAUCAGGGAGGAGCAAUUUUGUUGUAGUUCGAGGGUCAGGAAGCUGGUGACCCAGGGAGGAGAGGUCUUGUUUUAGUUUGAGGGUGGUGGAGCUGCAGACCCAGGGAGGAGCAAUUUGGUUGUCAUUCGAGGGUCUGGAAGCUGGAGACCCAGGGAGGAGAGGUCUUGUUCUAGUUUGAGGGUUGUGGAGCUGCCGAACCAGGGAGGAGCAAUUUGGUUGUAAUUGGUGGGUCCGGAAACUGGCGACCCAGGGAGGAGAGGUCUUGUUCUAGUUUGAAGAUCGUGGAGCUGCCGGACCAGGGAGGAGCAAUUUUGUUGUAAUUCAAGGGUCCGGUAGCAGGCAACCCGGGGAGGAGAAGUCUUGUUCGAGUUUGAGGGUCGUGGAGCUGUCGACCCAGGGAGGAGCAAUUUGGUUGUAAUUCGAGGGUCAGGAAGCUGGCGACCCAGGGGAGGCGAGGUCUUGUUCUGGUCUGAGGGUCGUGGAGCUGCAGACCCACGGAGGAGCAAUUUUGGUAUAAUUCAAGGUUCCGGUAACUGGCAACCGGGGGAAGAGAAGUCUUGUUCGAAUUUCAGGGUCGUGGAGCUUCCGAACCAGGGAGGAGCCAUUUGGUUGUAGUUUGAGGGUGAGGAAGCUGGCGACCCAGGGAGGAGAGGUCUUGUUUUCGUUUGAGGGUCAUGGAGCUGCAGACCCAGGCAGGAGCACUGUUGUUUUAGUUUGAGUGUCAGAAGGCUGGCGACCCAGGGAGGAGAAGUCUUGUUCUAGUUUGAUGUUCAUGGAGCUGCAGACCCAGGCAGGAGCAAUGUUGCUGUAGUUCGUGGGUUAGGAAGCUGGUGACUCAGGGUGGAGAAGUCUUGUUCUAGUUUCAGGGUCGUGGAGCUGCAGACCCAGGCAGGAGCAUUGUUGUUUUAGUUCGAGGGUCACGAAGCUGGUGACCCAGGUGGGGUUGCUCAGGGCGCCCCGUUCACUCCAGAGUGACCCCUGACCCAAAGCCAGUGCUGGGUGUUUGCCGAAACUGAAACCAGGGCAGGUCUGAAUCAGACCCUGCAGAACAAUGAGGCCUUUUGUGCGAAUGAGGCGGGGGAGGGACUGGAGGAGACCAGGAGCUUCCUGACGGGGUCCGCAGCACAGGUCACAGCGAUUGAAUUCAGGAGGUGACCCUCGAAGGUCAGGUCACAGCCGAGCAGCACAGGCGCUGAGCUAAGUGUCCACAAAGGAGACGAACAAAGCGGCCGCUGUGGGAACAGAGUCAGUGUCGGUCAAGGCUGAGUCCAGGAGCUCGGGUCCGCCGGGCGGCGACGGGGGCUUUGUGCUCGGUCCCCCUACAGUCAAGAGCGUCCUCAGCAUUCCCUGGACAUGGGUUCGUCGGUUCCCUCGUGUUUUUCUAAGAGGAAGUUUGGUGCCUCUGACCCCUCACCCUGACUGCUUUGCUGCUCCAGAGUCCCCCACAUGGUCACCUGUCCCAAGUGGACGAGCUUCAGUCACUCCAGGAUGAUCGUGAUUGUUGCCAAACCCUUGUCAUGCCCAUGCUGUUUUCUGGCGUUUUCUUUUAAACUAAACCGGCUCACAUUUUUACUCAUGGUAAAAGUAAAAAAUGUGUUACCUACUUUAACGUCCUCUGUCGCCAUAAUGAAAUCACAGGUUUGAUUAAUAAGUUGGAAUUUUUUUUCUAAUACACAUUAAAGUGAAUAACUAUUGAAAUAAAAAAUGUACUCCCCCUACUUAUUGAUAUA
rnacentral:lncRNA from 1 species